AUGGGCGGAAGCCUGAUGCAGCAACGCCGCGUGAGGGAUGACGGCCUUCGGGUUGUAAACCUCUUUUAGCAAGGAAGAAGCUUUUGUGACGGUACUUGCAGAAAAAGCGCCGGCUAACUACGUGCCAGCAGCCGCGGUAAUACGUAGGGCGCAAGCGUUAUCCGGAAUUAUUGGGCGUAAAGAGCUCGUAGGCGGUUUGUCGCGUCUGCUGUGAAAUCCCGAGGCUCAACCUCGGGCCUGCAGUGGGUACGGGCAGACUAGAGUGCGGUAGGGGAGAUUGGAAUUCCUGGUGUAGCGGUGGAAUGCGCAGAUAUCAGGAGGAACACCGAUGGCGAAGGCAGAUCUCUGGGCCGUAACUGACGCUGAGGAGCGAAAGGGUGGGGAGCAAACAGGCUUAGAUACCCUGGUAGUCCACCCCGUAAACGUUGGGAACUAGUUGUGGGGUCCUUUCCACGGAUUCCGUGACGCAGCUAACGCAUUAAGUUCCCCGCCUGGGGAGUACGGCCGCAAGGCUAAAACUCAAAGGAAUUGACGGGGACCCGCACAAGCGGCGGAGCAUGCGGAUUAAUUCGAUGCAACGCGAAGAACCUUACCAAGGCUUGACAUACACCAGAACACCCCAGAAAUGGGGGACUCUUUGGACACUGGUGAACAGGUGGUGCAUGGUUGUCGUCAGCUCGUGUCGUGAGAUGUUGGGUUAAGUCCCGCAACGAGCGCAACCCUCGUUCUAUGUUGCCAGCACGUAAUGGUGGGAACUCAUGGGAUACUGCCGGGGUCAACUCGGAGGAAGGUGGGGAUGACGUCAAAUCAUCAUGCCCCUUAUGUCUUGGGCUUCACGCAUGCUACAAUGGCCGGUACAAAGGGCUGCAAUACCGUGAGGUGGAGCGAAUCCCAAAAAGCCGGUCCCAGUUCGGAUUGAGGUCUGCAACUCGACCUCAUGAAGUCGGAGUCGCUAGUAAUCGCAGAUCAGCAACGCUGCGGUGAAUACGUUCCCGGGUCUUGUACACACCGCCCGUCAAGUCAUGAAAGUCGGUAACACCUGAAGCCGGUG
rnacentral:rRNA from 1 species